UACAUAGGGGGCAAGCGUUAUCCGGAAUUAUUGGGCGUAAAGGGUGCGUAGGUGGCCGUUUAAGUCUUUGGUGUAAGUGCAAGGCUCAACCUUGUGAUGCUAAAGAAACUGGAUGGCUUGAGUGUGGUAGAGGCAAGUGGAAUUCCAUGUGUAGCGGUAAAAUGCGUAAAUAUAUGGAGGAACACCGGUGGCGAAGGCGGCUUGCUGGGCCACAACUGACACUGAGGCACGAAAGCGUGGGGAGCAAACAGG
rnacentral:rRNA from 1 species